ensembl:snRNA U7 U7 small nuclear RNA
AAGGGUUACAGGCUCUUUUAGAAUUUGUCUAGCAGCCUUUCUGGUUUUUACAGAAAAGUCCCG